rnacentral:rRNA from 1 species
UUUUGCUGUCACUUAUAGAUGGAUCCGCGCCGCAUUAGCUAGUUGGUAAGGUAACGGCUUACCAAGGCAACGAUGCGUAGCCGACCUGAGAGGGUGAUCGGCCACACUGGAACUGAGACACGGUCCAGACUCCUACGGGAGGCAGCAGUAGGGAAUCUUCCGCAAUGGGCGAAAGCCUGACGGAGCAACGCCGCGUGAGUGAUGAAGGUCUUCGGAUCGUAAAACUCUGUUAUUAGGGAAGAACAAAUGUGUAAGUAACUAUGCACGUCUUGACGGUACCUAAUCAGAAAGCCACGGCUAACUACGUGCCAGCAGCCGCGGUAAUACGUAGGUGGCAAGCGUUAUCCGGAAUUAUUGGGCGUAAAGCGCGCGUAGGCGGUUUUUUAAGUCUGAUGUGAAAGCCCACGGCUCAACCGUGGAGGGUCAUUGGAAACUGGAAAACUUGAGUGCAGAAGAGGAAAGUGGAAUUCCAUGUGUAGCGGUGAAAUGCGCAGAGAUAUGGAGGAACACCAGUGGCGAAGGCGACUUUCUGGUCUGUAACUGACGCUGAUGUGCGAAAGCGUGGGGAUCAAACAGGAUUAGAUACCCUGGUAGUCCACGCCGUAAACGAUGAGUGCUAAGUGUUAGGGGGU